rnacentral:rRNA from 1 species
GAUCAACGCUGGCGGCGCACAUAAGACAUGCAAGUUGAACGGACUUAAUCGAAAUAUUUAUAUUUUGAAGCGGUUAGUGGCGGACUGGUGAGUAACGCGUAAGGAACCUGCCUAUUAGAGGGGAAUAACAGUGAGAAAUCAUUGCUAAUACCGCAUAUGCCAUAGAUAUCACAUGAUAACAGUGGGAAAGGAGCAAUCCGCUAAUAGAUGGCCUUGCGUCUGAUUAGAUAGUUGGUGGGGUAACGGCCUACCAAGUCGACGAUCAGUAGCCGGACUGAGAGGUUGAACGGCCACAUUGGGACUGAGAUACGGCCCAGACUCCUACGGGAGGCAGCAGUCGGGAAUAUUGCGCAAUGGAGGAAACUCUGACGCAGUGACACCGCGUAUAGGAAGAAGGUUUUCGGAUUGUAAACUAUUGUCGUGAGGGAAGAGAAAGGACAGUACCUAAGGAGGAAGCUCCGGCUAACUACGU